GCCCGUAGGUAAUAAUCUUCAUUUUUUUUAAUGCUCUCCUCAACAGCGGAUGAAAGUUGCAGUUGAGCUUAGAAUCCGGCAAUUAAUAGUCGUCUCAUUAUCUUGCUCUUAAUUGUUCUCACCUUUCCCAUCCCGUAACGGUUCAAAAACCCCAGGCGUCCUUGGAUUCUUUCUGCAAAAACAUAAUAUUUUCCCAAUUCAAUUGAUUAACGAUUAUUUGGCGGCUUUGCAAAACCAAAACGCUCAUCCCAGCAUUGUAUCAUCUCCAUAAAAUUUCAAAUCCAAUUCGAGAACAGAAUCCAUUCUACCGGUUCAACAUUUUUCCUGCUUUAGGUUGAAUAAUGUUGCAGAAAUUGUUAUCUGAUGUAAUGGUUUUUAAGAAAAAAUCAGUAGCUAUCAACAGAACACACCAGGCGGCAUUGCAGAUGAAUUACAAACCCCGGGUAGCAUUUUUCGGUUGCCAAGGACCACUUCAAGAGUUUGGAUCCCACGACGAAGGAAAAUCAAGCAUCCUUUCUUUUCGGGUUAUUCAGAAAUUCGAAAUUUGGACUUUAUGACCACGAGCAGUGUUGCUAACCCGAAUUCCGACCAGCAAGCAAUGAGAAGAGGGGCUUAUUUCGGUGGAACACCUCCCUCACAGCUUUAGAUGCUUUUUUUUGUCGAUUAUUUCCCAUAAUUUUUUGUCUCACUGAGUUCAAAGCCCUCGAACCGAAGCAUGCAUCUUAUAAGUAACUUUUACUGUCUCUAUGUUGAUUCCAAUGUUAUUAACAGUUUUGGGUCCCAAAAAUACUAAAACUCGAUUAGCUACAAUUUAUGUUGUGUUAUGUUCUUGGUAGUAUUGAUAUUCCUUACAUAGAUAACCAUAUGUCAUUAAAUAGAUAAUCAUAUUUGUUUCAUUCCUUUAGUGACUCAACUGUUAAAUGUUGAAGAUUUGCAUUUCUUAUAAGAAAAAAACCCACCAGAAAUGGUUGGUAGCACAACAUAUCAAGCCAGCAAUUAUACGCAAAGAACUAUCAGUCGAAACAAUUAAACGAUAAAGAUCUGACACAUGACUAACAAGACCUUCUAUAAUGGUUGGUGUUAAAAAGAUUCAGUAAAAUCACCGUCUUAGUUUGUCAGGUAUGCUAAAUACAAAGGGCUGGUGGGCAAUCCGGCCGAAUGCGCGAGAUCACAAUUGAGAAUAUUAGGGGAUCAACAAUGAGGAUUUGCUCUAUGGGGUUCUGCUACUAAUCAAGUUGGGAAUUUCCCAAUUGAUUGCGACUCGAAUACAUAUCAUGUGCUAGUUGUUGUUUGCUCCACUUUUAUGAAGAAAUACCAAGGAAAACGGGACGGAAGCGGCUGAAACACGCACUACUAACUAUCUUCGGGUCGCGUAUUGAUUACCAGAUUACAAGCACAAAUUCUAACAACAAAUGGAAAUGUCAGUCAAGUGUACUCGGUGGGAAACAUCAGUUACCGCGGCUGUCAUUUGGAGAUCUCAUUAUCAAGAAUUUAUGCAAGAUCUCCAAGAUUAGAACCCUCUACUCAUCUGCCGAACAUAUCAAAUUGGAUUGAAUGCUAACAUAUGGAGUUUUUAACAUCAUACAAAUCAGAUAUGAAGUGUGUUUCGUCCAUUGUGUUAAGUUUAUUUUUCCCUAAGUUUUUUAUUUAUCUCUAAUUUACUGUUAGACUUUUG